AGUAAUGCGUGACCAACCUCGCCCCAUGCUCCAGAAUAGCUCUUGGAAACGGGUGGUAAUGCUGGAUGCUCCAACUUGACGCAUGUCUUGUUGGGAAAGUGUUUAGUGGCAUGGGAUGGGGUCGCGUCCUAUCAGCUUGUAGGCGGGGUAAUGGCCCACCUAGGCUUCGACGGGUAGCCGGCCUGAGAGGGCGGACGGCCACAUUGGGACUGAGAUACGGCCCAGAUCCUACGGGAGGCAGCAGCG
rnacentral:rRNA from 1 species